AUUGAACGCUGGCGGUAUGCUUAACACAUGCAAGUCGAACGGUAACAGCAGAGCUUGCUCUGGCUGACAAGUGGCGGACGGGUGCGUAACGCGUGGGAAUCUACCUUGUAGUGGGGGAUAGCCCGGAGAAAUCCGGAUUAAUACCGCAUAAUCUCUACGGAGCAAAGUGGGGGAUCUUCGGACCUCACGCUAUUAGAUGAGCCCGCGUUAGAUUAGCUUGUUGGUGAGGUAAUGGCUCACCAAGGCGACGAUCUAUAGCUGGUUUGAGAGGAUGAUCAGCCACACUGGGACUGAGACACGGCCCAG
rnacentral:rRNA from 1 species